rnacentral:rRNA from 1 species
CAAUCUAUACUGUGAAACUGUGAAUGGCUCAUUAAAUCAGUUAUCGUUUAUUUGAUAGUACCUUACUACUUGGAUAACCGUGGUAAUUCUAGAGCUAAUACAUGCUAAAAACCUCGACUUCGGAAGGGGUGUAUUUAUUAGAUAAAAAACCAAUGCCCUUCGGGGCUCCUUGGUGAUUCAUAAUAACUUAACGAAUCGCAUGGCCUUGUGCCGGCGAUGGUUCAUUCAAAUUUCUGCCCUAUCAACUUUCGAUGGUAGGAUAGUGGCCUACCAUGGUAUCAACGGGUAACGGGGAAUUAGGGUUCUAUUCCGGAGAGGGAGCCUGAGAAACGGCUACCACAUCCAAGGAAGGCAGCAGGCGCGCAAAUUACCCAAUCCCAAUACGGGGAGGUAGUGACAAUAAAUACUGAUACAGGGCUCUUUUGGGUCUUGUAAUUGGAAUGAGUACAAUUUAAAUCCCUUAACGAGGAACAAUUGGAGGGCAAGUCUGGUGCCAGCAGCCGCGGUAAUUCCAGCUCCAAUAGCGUAUAUUAAAGUUGUUGCAGUUAAAAAGCUCGUAGUUGAACCUUGGGCUCGGCUAGCCGGUCCGCCUCACCGCGUGCACUGGUCCGGCCGGGCCUUUCCUUCUGGGGAUCCGCAUGCCCUUCACUGGGUGUGCCGGGGAACCAGGACUUUUACUUUGAAAAAAUUAGAGUGUUCAAA